rnacentral:rRNA from 1 species
CGCGUAGGCGGAUGACACAGUCAGAUGUGAAAUUCCCGGGCUUAACCUGGGGGCUGCAUUUGAUACGUGUUGUCUAGAGUGAGGAAGAGGGUUGUGGAAUUCCCAGUGUAGAGGUGAAAUUCGUAGAUAUUGGGAAGAACACCGGUGGCGAAGGCGGCAACCUGGUCCUUGACUGACGCUGAGGCGCGAAAGCGUGGGGAGCAAACGG